CAGUAGCCGCGGGAAUACAGAGGGUGCGAGCGUUAAUCGGAUUUACUGGGCGUAAAGCGUGCGUAGGCGGCUUUUUAAGUCGGAUGUGAAAUCCCUGAGCUUAACUUAGGAAUUGCAUUCGAUACUGGGAAGCUAGAGUAUGGGAGAGGAUGGUAGAAUUACAGGUGUAGCGGUGAAAUGCGUAGAGAUCUGGAGGAAUACCGAUGGCGAAGGCAGCCAUCUGGCCUAAUACUGACGCUGAGGUACGAAAGCAUGGGGAGCAAACAGGAUUAGAUACCCCUGUAGUCCCUGUCUCUUAUAC
rnacentral:rRNA from 1 species